rnacentral:rRNA from 1 species
GAUGAACGCUGGCGGCGUGCCUAAUACAUGCAAGUCGAGCGAACAGACGAGGAGCUUGCUCCUCUGACGUUAGCGGCGGACGGGUGAGUAACACGUGGAUAACCUACCUAUAAGACUGGGAUAACUUCGGGAAACCGGAGCUAAUACCGGAUAACAUGUUGAACCGCAUGGUUCAACAGUGAAAGACGGUCUUGCUGUCACUUAUAGAUGGAUCCGCGCCGCAUUAGCUAGUUGGUAAGGUAACGGCUUACCAAGGCAACGAUGCGUAGCCGACCUGAGAGGUGGAUAGGCGACCCUGGAACGUAGUCGCGGUCAAGGCGACUACGGGAGGCACCAGUAGGGAACGUGACGCAAUGGGCGAAAGCAUGACGCAGCAGCGCCGAGUGAGUGAUAGCGGUGUCGCGAUCGUAAAGCUGGGCUUUUGGGGGAAAACAACUGUCUCCGGAACCAAGCACGGAUUGACGGUAAUUGAUCAGAAAGCACCGGCUAACUACGUG